CUUUAUUUUUAUACUUCAGAAGGUGAGAUCUUUCCAAAGAUGAUAUCUCCUGAAUUUGGGUAUCUAAAUCUUUUCUAUGAUAUCCCUUUUGUAUAAAUUGUUUCUUCAAGAGUUCAGCUUGGUUGGAAAAAUCUUGUACAUUCGUGCAAUUUCUACGUAAUCUUAGGAACUGCCCCUUAGGGAUAUUGGUCAACCAAGGUUUAUGGUGACAGCUGCUAAUCUCAAAAUAGCUAUUGACAUCAACUUGUUUAAAAAAAGUGCGAGUAGUUAAAGCAUUAUUACAGACAUAAAUAUUAAGAUCUAAAAAAUCAAUGCUUAUAUUACUCACACUUUUUGUUAAAUGAAUUCCCCAAUCAUUGCAAUUGAGAGAAGUAAAAAAUUUAUUAAAAAUAUCCUCAGACCCCUUCCAAAUUAUAAAAAUAUCAUCAAUGUAUCGUUUGUACAGGACCAGGUUUGCAUCACAGUCAUGUUCUCGAUAAAUAAAAGUGUGUUCCCAAUAUGCCAUGAAGAGAUCGCCAUAACUGGGUGGAAACCUGGUCUCCAUAGCUGUACCUCGAACUUGCAAGUAAAAAUCUCCUUCAAACCAGAAAUAGUUAUUUUCCAAGAUGUGCAUACCCUCUAAAAUAAAAUUCUGUUGGACUUCAUUAUACUUCUUAGAUUCUUGUAAAAAGAACCUUGUGGCCUAACAUCCCUUUUCAUGUUUAAUGAUGGUGUACAGACUAGUUACGUCACAUGUAAUGAGAAGAUAAUCGUCUUCCCAUUUAAAACUAUUUAGCAUAUUGAGCAGGCUCAUUGAAUCCUGAAGAUAAGAGGGACAGUUUUUUACUAGAGGUUGAAGAUGAAAAUCUAUAUAUUGCAAAAAUGGAGAUAGAAUAGAAUUUAUGCCUGAUAUUAUAGGGUGUCCUGGUGGAUUUAUAGGAUCCUUAUGUAGCUUAGGUAAUACGUAAAUCACUGGUAUACGGGGGUGGUCAAGCAAUAAAAAGGCUAAUUCUCCCUUAUUUAAAACGUUAUGCUUUUCCCCUUGUUCUAGAAAAAUUUGAUAAUUUUUCUUAAUCUCUUGUGUGGGAUCUUUUUUCAGUUUUUGUUAUACGUAUUAAUAUCUUAAAGCUGUUUUUCUAUUUCUUGUAAAUAUUUUUUCUUAUCCAUUAUAACUACUCCCCCCCCCUUAUCAGCUGGUUUAAUAACCAUCGAUGAGUCAUCUUUUAAUUCUUCUAAAUGCCUUUUCUCCUCGAAUGUUAAAUUUAAACUAUAUUUAGAAAGGAGUUUAAUCUUAUAUAUUUCAUCCAGACAUGCCCGCUCAAAGACUUUCAUU